CAGAAAUGUCUGAAUCUGGGGAGUCUGGAGGGGAGAUGGGACAUGCAGAGUGAGUGCCGAAAAAAGCAACCGAAGGAUCCAAGAAAAGUCUGUCGGGUAUGAUCCAGCGUUCCUGCCACGGCCGAUGUGGAAACAGGCACUAUGGCAACAGGAAGCAGAAGUGAGGCUGUGCCGCAGGCUGUCAUUGUGAUGCAACAAAAUGUAUCUGCUGGACCAUCCUGAGGACCAAAUGAGAUUCUGAAGGAUCCUUCAAACUGGAAGAUCCCACUGACGUGACUGCUGGGGAGACGACCUUUGAACCAAUAUGUAUCACUCUGAGCAAGAAGCUCCCUCAACAGGCUGAUCUCCCAGUCUAGAAGCUGCUCCAUAAGACAGAUCCCUGGAACGAACCUUCCUUACCCUUCGUUUUAUAUCUCAGUGCCAGAAACUCCUCCAGCAAAGACAGGAAGCAAUGAAUCCAACCCAGGGCUGAGGCAGACCGGUGUGUGGGGCAGGGGUAGCCUGAAGCUUACGUACAAAACAGCCCGAGUGCCAUCAGGGAGUUGGGGCUACAUUUAAACAGGAAAAGGACGCAGAGCAAGACCGA